AUCUGGCCUGCGGACAGCAUGGCUCACCCGCUGCUGCUGUUUGUGCAGGUUCUGCCGUGGAUUUUGCAUGCAACGCCCACCCCGGUAUCAACGACCAACAUCACCGUGAUACAACCAUUGAUGCUUUGCGCGGGCCACGUUACAAGCAACAGCACAUUCAAGGGAUAUCGACCACGAGGUGUGACGUCACCAGCAGCCGAUCUACUUAAGGAACGACGCGACACCGACCAGAUCAGAGGGCACGGCAUCUGGCCUGCGGACAGCAUGGCUCACCCGCUGCUGCUGUUUGUGCAGGUUCUGCCGUGGAUUUUGCAUGCAACGCCCACCCCGGUAUCAACGACCAACAUCACCGUGAUACAACCAUUGAUGCUUUGCGCGGGCCACGUUACAAGCAACAGCACAUUCAAGGGAUAUCGACCACGAGGUGUGACGUCACCAGCAGCCGAUCUACUUAAGGAACGACGCGACACCGACCAGAUCAGAGGGCACGGCAUCUGGCCUGCGGACAGCAUGGCUCACCCGCUGCUGCUGUUUGUGCAGGAUGAACGCAAAGCUGCUAGCAUUCGUCCUUGUCCUAGUCACCUGUGCCGUAUUGAUUGACAUGGCGGCAGCUUACGACGCCACCUUCUUUAACAUCGGUGUCGGCUGCCCUAAGUCGGCACUGUCUUGUGUCCAAGAAUGCCGAGAUGAACGUGGGCACCGAGGAGGCUAUUGCAACGGACCAUUCAACAUCGUAUGCACUUGCUACUGAGGCUUGGGACUCACUGGCUAUACUAUAGUGUGAGAGAAGUUCCUUAGAAGCGUGACCUUCUUCGACCAAAUUUGCUUUUCCCAUGUGUUUUACCUGAAUGACAGCUCUCUUGGCUUUGUCAUACGCACUUGUUCAUGCCAUAACGCACUAAGAGAAGAAGUGAAAGUGCUGCACUAAGAGAAGAAGUGAAACCGCUGCAACAGUGGAGCAGUUGCAGCGCGUAUUCUAUUUGUAUUUCUGUAAGCAGCGAACAAAUUGAGCAGCUGUGGUUGUAUUAACUCUACCAACUCUUUCAGAAUGGGAAAGAACAUCGUAUACACAAGUCACAUCAUGAUUUCUCAUUUGUUUGUGUGAAUAUAUUGCUAGUCAAAAGUUCAAAUCUUUUUUUUGACAAUAAAUACAU